rnacentral:misc_RNA from 1 species
AACAUCGCGCACCUGCGGGAACCUGCGGAAGGAUCAUUACAGAGUUGCAAAACUCCCUAAACCAUUGUGAACGCUACCUAAACCGUUGCUUCGGCGGGCGGCCCGGGUCCUUCCCGGCGCCCCUCGGCCCUCGCGGGCGCCCGCCGGAGGUAAACCAAACUAUUGCAUUGUAUGGCCUCUCUGAGUCUUCUGUACUGAAUAAGUCAAAACUUUUAGCAAUGGAUCUCAGAUCGGAAGAGC